rnacentral:rRNA from 1 species
UACGAAGGGGGCUAGCGUUGUUCGGAUUUACUGGGUUUAAAGGGUGCGUAGGCGGAUCUUUUAAGUCAGUGGUGAAAUCUCUCGGCUCAACCGAGAAAACUGCCAUUGAUACUAUUGAUCUUGAAUACAGUUGAGGUGGGCGGAAUGUGUCGUGUAGCGGUGAAAUGCUUAGAUAUGACACAGAACACCGAUUGCGAAAGGCAGCUCGCUAAAACUGUGAUUGACGUGAGGACGAAAGCGUGGGGAUCAAAACAGG